rnacentral:tRNA from 1 species
AAUUAAUUAGCUUAUUUUUAAAGCCUAUAUUUUGAAAAUAUAAGAAAGAAGUUUAAUUCCUCU